ensembl:misc_RNA Metazoa_SRP Metazoan signal recognition particle RNA
GCUGGGCACAGUGGUGCAUGCCUAUGAGCCCAGCUACUUGGGAGGCUGAGGUGGGAGAAUUGUUUGAGCCCAGGAAGUUUAGGCUGCAGUGAGUCGUCAUCACACCACUGCAUUCUAGCCUGGGCAACAGAGCAAGACCCUGUCUCAA